rnacentral:rRNA from 1 species
GGGUGAGUAAUGUCUGGGAAACUGCCUGAUGGAGGGGGAAAACCACUGGAAACGGUAGCUAAUACCGCAUAAUGUCGCAAGACCAAAGAGGGGGACCUUCGGGCCUCUUGCCAUCGGAUGUGCCCAGGUGGGAUUAGCUAGUAGGUGGGGUAACGGCUCACCUAGGCGACGAUCCCUAGCUGGUCUGAGAGGAUGACCAG